AGAGUUUGAUCAUGGCUCAGGAUGAACGCUAGCGGAGGCCUAACACAUGCAAGCCGAGCGGUAUAGAAUCUUCGGAUUUUAGAGAGCGGCGUACGGGUGCGGAACACGUGUGCAACUACCUUUAUCUUGGGAUAGCUUUCGAAAGGAAGAUUAAUACCCGAUAAUAUAUAAUAUGGCAUCAUAACAUAUUGAAAGCUCCGGCGGAUAGAGAUGGGCACGCGCAAGAUUAGUUAGUUGGUGAGGUAACGGCUCACCAAGACGAUGAUCUUUAGGGGGCCUGAGAGGUGAUCCCCACACUGGUACUGAGACACGGACCAGACUCCUACGAGAGGCAGCAGUGAGGAAUAUUGGACAAUGGGUGCAAGCCUGAUCCAGCCAUCCCGCGUGAAGGACGACUGCCUAUGGGUUGUAAACUUCUUUUGUAUAGGGAUAAACCUCUCCUCGUGAGGAGAGCUGAAGGUACUAUACGAAUAAGCACCGGCUAACUCCGUG
rnacentral:rRNA from 1 species